rnacentral:rRNA from 1 species
AGUGAACGCUGGCGGUAGGCCUAACACAUGCAAGUCGAACGGCAGCACAGUAAGAGCUUGCUCUUACGGGUGGCGAGUGGCGGACGGGUGAGGAAUACAUCGGAAUCUACUUUUUCGUGGGGGAUAACGUAGGGGAACUUACGCUAAUACCGCAUACGAACUACGGGUGAAAGCAAGGGAUCUUCGGACCUUGCGCGAUUGAAUGAGCCGAUGUCGGAUUAGCUAGUUGGCGGGGUAAAGGCCCACCAAGGCGACGAUCCGUAGCUGGUCUGAGAGGAUGAUCAGCCACACUGGAACUGAGACACGGUCCAGACUCCUACGGGAGGCAGCAGUGGGGAAUAUUGGACAAUGGGCGCAAGCCUGAUCCAGCCAUACCGCGUGGGUGAAGAAGGCCUUCGGGUUGUAAAGCCCUUUUGUUGGGGAAGAAAAGCAGCAGGUUAAUACCCCGCUGUUCUGACGGUACCCAAAGAAUAAGCACCGGCUAACUUCGUG